AUCAACUUUCCACUCAUCAUAAUCAUCAGAGAGACAGCUCAAGCUUUCAGCACCAGCUGUGAUUUGGUGAUAGUUUAAAAUAUAUUUUUAAAAAAGGUUACUUUGAAACUAUGUUGAAUUAAACCAUGUUAAAGUAACAAAUGCUUUUUUUACGGUAAAAACGGUUUUGUACGGUAAAAAAAGUUUAUUUGCCGUCUGAAAUGUCAACAGCAGGAAUUUCUACAAUCAAACAAUUUAAGGCUUAUCGUCAGAUUUUGAUAAAUAUGUUUUAUUUCAGAUCUUCGCUUCAUACAAACGAACAAAGGGACCACCAUGCUUUUAUAUCGCGGCAUGAGAUUCUCCAGAAACUACCAGAAUGGCCACAAGAUAUCAUGGAAGUGUAAUAAAAUGGGUUGCAUCGCGCGAGUGAUCACCUUUGGGGAGCUGCUGAACCAAAGUUUGGUUUAUCGCAACGCGGUAAUUUAGUGGUUCAGAUUGGUGAGUGGCGCUUCAACAAACACGCGAGCUGGGGCUCCAAGGUGCGCUGGACCUGCAUCAAGAAGAAGAAUGGGUGUAACGCCGCCCUCACUACUGUGGACAAUAUUAUCGUCAAGACUUUGGGAAGCCAUAAUCAUUGAUAAAGAAGUAACAACUUUGAUAAGGAAAACGGGAGAUAUGAUUUAUUUCACGUAUUUUUUAAGUGUUUUCAAUAAGAGUACCUUAAGAAUAAUUUUUAAUCGACAUUAUAAUUACUAUCUUGUGUUUGUAAGAUUUGUUUCGUCCUAUGAAACUUAAAAUUUUUAAGUACCUAACUUAGUUUAAUCAGCUUUUGAAGUACAUAUAAUUAGAAUAUGCCAAUAUUUGUUAGUUUUUAAUUUUACCAUAAUAAGACUGUGCUUAUAUAGAAAAAGUUCCUUUUAAAGUUAUGUAGCUUUACAUAGAAUUGUCUAUUAUUCCAAAUUAUAUCAGCUCAUUCCAUAUUUUUUGUAAGAUUUAAGAAUAAAAAAUUACAUUAACAUGUAGCAUAUAUAUCAACUAACACUUAAGGUUAAUUAUGUGCAGAAAGACUUUAUAUCACUGCUGGUUUUGAUAGUAAAUUUAUUAUUAUAAGUUGUGUUUCUUAUAUCAACAACUACCCGUGCUGUGCUAGACUGCUUCAUCUUGAUGUAAACAUUCAUUUAAUUUAUGUUGUAUGUAUAUCAAAAAACUACUUAAAGGGUACUAACGGCAAAGUGUAUGUUUCAGAUUUGAAUCCGGUAUUCGCGAAAUCCCAACGAGGCAAUCCUGUGAUCAUGAUUGGACGAUACCGCUUCAACCGCGUCAACAAGUAUGGGAACAGAAUCAGAUGGGUGUGCGUCAAAGCCAAGGCUGGCUGCAGGGCUUCUCUCCACACCCUGGACAACGCUAUCGUUCGUGUUUGGGGAUUCCACAAUCCAACGGCUCAUACUAGCGCUAACCGGUUUUAGUACAUUCGUGUCGUUUUCUACGGGUCCUUAAUAUUUUUGGCGUAAUCAUGGUUUCAUAUAAAUUUCGAUACUAAAACUUUAUAAUAAAACGAUGUUUAUGCCAUUAAACUGAAUUACAAGCAAUAUGGAACCAUUUUCUUUUUCAUUAAUUGAUGAAUUAAAACUCAUUUUAAUUUUCACUUAAAUGUCCGUUUGGGUCUUCAGGCGAUAUCCAAAACAAAAAAUGGCGUAGUUUUAAACAUUCUAUAGUUAUUUAUAUUUCCAAUUAAAUAUCUAAUUUGGGCUGAAAAUUUAUACAUAAAUAUUUUUUAUUUUUUAGAUAAUUACUAUUUUAAGAUUUACAAAUGUAUCUUGCUUGUGGGCUUUUACGAUCGCACUUGUAAUAAAUAUGGACUUAGAAAAGCUCUUCAUCAAUAUUUUUUUUUUUUUUACUUUUUUAUUCUCGGGCAUCAAAGACCCAUAGAUACAUUCAUUUUACAGACUAACAUGUUAUGUUUUUAUUAUUUUUGUAAUCAUAGUUUUGAUGUAUUUUUUUAUUAAUUUGACUAUCAUGAAACUAUUUUGUAAACUAUGUAAAAUAGAGAUUUAGCAUUAAAAUAAGUGAUUCCAUAAUUAUCUUUCGAAAAUAUAUGAAAUCUUAAAAAAGGUGCUUUUUAUGGUGUUGCUUAGUUUUAAUUAAAAGUGAAGCUUGACCUGGAAUUAAUUUUAUGUAUGUGUGACAAAAGAGUAGGUUAGGUUAACUUAUAAAACAUCAACCACCGCGAAGUAUAAAAAGCUAAGAAAAUAAAAAAUAACAUUUGUUUUUCUAGUUUUGUCAUCCAUGUAUAUAAAAAAAAAUAACUGACCGAUGUCUGUAUUUUCCCUCGCCCCUCGAAAGGGCAAUCAGCUUUAUUGUAUUGAUCGAAGAUGCGGGCGACAGUAACUCAAUACAUUAAUAAAAUACAUAUUUCUAAGGCUUUUUGAUUAUCGCAUCAAUUAAAACAGUCGACAGCUGGCUGCCGGCUUGUUUUAGUUUGAAUUUAAAUAUAUAAAAAUAAAAUCCCGAAAUAUUUUCCAAACAAAUAUUUAUUUCCUCAUCACAACGUAAAAAUUGUUGCUUAUGAUUAUCCUGACUUUUUUGUCACAUGCUAUAUUUUAAAUAAUGUCAGUUAAAAUUAUAUUAAAGCUAAAAAUUUUAAUUAAUUAAAAUACUUAGUAGCUUUUGAUAAUAGACAAAAUUCUCACUCACAAUAUACCAACUUACGUUGUGGUCUGAACAUAACUGCUUAUCUGAGUAAGAAUCAAUGUAGGUAGUUUAAAAACAUAUCUUACAUCCUCAACACAUUCUCGUAUGAAAAUACUAAGUAAGUCUUGGUGGUGGAUAAAUCUAGUGUUUAAGCUGCUUUUGUUCUGAUUUAAGUAAUGUAAUAAUGUUUUAUACUCGUAUUAACACACACAUUCUUAAUAAUUACACGCCUUUAUAAUAGUUCAA